rnacentral:rRNA from 1 species
AGAGUUUGAUCCUGGCUCAGGAUGAACGCUAGCGGCAGGCUUAACACAUGCAAGUCGAGGGGCAGCGGGGUGUAGCAAUACACUGCCGGCGACCGGCGCACGGGUGCGUAACGCGUAUGCAACCUACCCAUAACAGGGGCAUAACACUGAGAAAUUGGUACUAAUUCCCCGUAACAUUCGAGGAGGCAUCUCUUUGGGUUGAAAACUCCGGUGGUUAUGGAUGGGCAUGCGUUGUAUUAGCUAGUUGGUGGGGUAACGG